AAUAGGAUGCGUCAACUUAACCUUGCCAUAGAGAGUUCAUGUGAGAUGUUUCUUUUCUGGCUCAGACUGCUUCUGUAAUUUUAUGAGGAUGCCACCAUGAUUGCCAGAGAGAUUUCAUUUGGGUUGUAAGAAGACGACACUAAAUGUCAGUGACUGGAAUGUGUCUGCCUAGCACUAAUAACUGUGAUGAUGAGAACUAGACCUCUCCUGACUGCAGAACUUUCAGGUCACCUCACCAAACCUGUCACCUCUGGCUUUCAAAGGUGGUUUAUCUCUUGGCCUGUUCCACACAGCUUGCCUGGUCAAAUAAGAUAAUGAUAUCAACAGAGAGUGCAGUGAGUAAAAGUGAACUGCUAUAAGCUCUUACUGAUAUUUGUAACUUCACACACUUAAUAAGAGGACAAGAAAACACUUUUUUG
rnacentral:lncRNA from 1 species